rnacentral:rRNA from 2 species
CCUACGGGGGGCUGCAGUGGGGAAUAUUGCGCAAUGGGCGAAAGCCUGACGCAGCGACGCCGCGUGAGGGAUGAAGGCCUUCGGGUCGUAAACCUCUGUCAGGAGGGAAGAACCGCUCAGGUGCUAAUCAGCCUGGGUCUGACGGUACCUCCAAAGGAAGCACCGGCUAACUCCGUGCCAGCAGCCGCGGUAAUACGGAGGGUGCGAGCGUUAAUCGGAAUCACUGGGCGUAAAGCGCACGUAGGCUGUUUGGUAAGUCAGGUGUGAAAUCCCGCGGCUCAACCGCGGACUUGCCCUUGAUACUGCUGGACUCGAGUCCGGGAGAGGGUGGCGGAAUUCCAGGUAUAGGAGUGAAAUCCGUAGAUAUCUGGAGGAACAUCAGUGGCGAAGGCGGCCACCUGGACCGGUACUGACGCUGAGGUGCGAAAGCGUGGGGAGCAAACAGGAUUAGAUACCCGAGUAGUC